GUACACGCUGUGACUAGCAUAUCAAUAAGCGGAGGAAAAGAAACUAACAAGGAUUCCCCUAGUAACGGCGAGUGAAGCGGGAAGAGCUCAAAUUUGAAAUCUUAAAGGGUUUCCCUUUACGAAUUGUAGUUUAAAGAAGUGUUUUCUGUUGAGGUUUUGGUAAAAGUUCUUUGGAAUAGGACAUCAUAGAGGGUGAGAAUCCCGUAUUUGACCUUUACUUUCAACUUUGUGAUACACUUUCGAAGAGUCGGAUUGUUUGGGAAUGCAGUCCAAAAUGGGUGGUAAAUUUCAUCUAAAGCUAAAUAUUGGCGAGAGACCGAUAGCGAACAAGUACCGUGAGGGAAAGAUGAAAAGAACUUUGAAAAGAGAGUUAAACAGUACGUGAAAUUGUCAAAAGGGAAGCGUUUGACACCAGUGUUGUUUUUCUGAAAAUCAAUUAAAGAACUGUUUAUGCUAAGCUGUUUAGACUUUAUCAGCUAUACUGUUUAGUUUUGAGCUUUUCUUUAAUGCACUUUUCAGUUAACAAGUCAACAUCAAUUUCUUUUGCUGUAAAAAAGCUUGAGGAAGGUGGCUUGAGAUUCGUCUUAAGUGUUUAUAGCCUCUUGCCUAUGCAGUCGGAGAGAUUGAGGUCUGCAGCGUAGAUCCUUCGGGGCUAAAUGCAUUUGUGCUAAGUUAUAGCAUUUUAUAGACAACUUGUUGACUAUGAUUUGUCUUGUAGCUUACUCGCUUAUGUUAUUUUACCUACGCUUAGGAUGUUGAAGAUGUAGCACAUCAU
rnacentral:rRNA from 1 species